AGAGAGUGGGACCAUGGACAAGGCAACCAAAACCACCUGAGUUUGGAGAGUCCUAAUCAGGCAGUGAAGGAACUUCUCCCUCUCUGCUGGAUAUGGAGAAGGCACAAUCAGUGAGUGGGUCUCUUGACAUGGCAAGAAAUUCAAGUCAGGUGGAGGAGGCAACAUUUUUGUCUUCUGUGCAGCUUUAU
rnacentral:lncRNA from 1 species